UACGAAGGGGGCUAGCGUUGUUCGGAAUUACUGGGCGUAAAGCGCACGUAGGCGGAUAUUUAAGUCAGGGGUGAAAUCCCGGGGCUCAACCCCGGAACUGCCUUUGAUACUGGGUAUCUGGAGUAUGGAAGAGGUGAGUGGAAUUCCGAGUGUAGAGGUGAAAUUCGUAGAUAUUCGGAGGAACACCAGUGGCGAAGGCGGCUCACUGGUCCAUUACUGACGCUGAGGUGCGAAAGCGUGGGGAGCGAACAGG
rnacentral:rRNA from 1 species